rnacentral:rRNA from 1 species
GACGUAGGGCGCAAGCGUUGUCCGGAUUUAUUGAGCGUAAAGCGCUCGUAGGCGGCUCGUUGCGUCGGCUGUGAAAACCCGCAGCUUAACUGUGGGCCUGCAGCCGAUACGGGCGGGCUGGAGUUCGGUAGGGGAGACUGGAAUUCCUGGUGUAGCGGUGAAAUGCGCAGAUAUCAGGAGGAACACCGGUGGCGAAGGCGGGUCUCUGGGCCGAUACUGACGCUGAGGAGCGAAAGCGUGGGGAGCGAACAGG